CUCCUGGGAAGGCCUCGUGUUGCAACCC
rnacentral:rRNA from 6 species